GGUGCUUUGGUGUAAUGGUUAGCACUCUGGAUUUGGAAUCCAGCGAUUAGAGUUCAAAUCUCGGUAGGACCU
rnacentral:tRNA from 1 species